UCUCGGUUAGUAUAGUGGUUAGUAUACCGGCUUGUCAAUCAUCUCAGUCACACCUGUGGAUGAGAUACUUGCGACGCCGGUGACCCGGGUUCAAUUCCCGGACCGAGAG